rfam:Salmo salar isolate Sally breed double haploid chromosome ssa18, whole genome shotgun sequence.
UGGCUCAGUUGGUAGAGCAUGGUGUUUGCUAAUGCCAGGGUUGUGGGUUCGAUUCCCAC